ACUGCUAGGUACAUCAACCUCAGGUAAGCAAACCUCCUCCAAAGAACGCUCUUUUUUCUUCGCUAAUCCAUUCCGCUUCUCUAUAUCUAUAUCUCUCCUACCUGGCCGAUUGGGUAUGGUCUCUGAAUCCCUGUCAUUUCUUACACUACAUAGGAAAUCAAACGGAAACAUCAUACAAAGCUAGUUACGAAUUGAGUGAUGUCAAUUUUAUUUACCAGAAUUGCAAAAGAAAGGAAGAGAGAAUACCCUUUUCCUUUUCAAUUAGCUACGUUGAAGAAUUGCAUUAACCAAGUGAAAUGAUGAAGCAAGAGUGAUUUUACAGUGACCUUUGUCUGUGUUCUUGCUACACCCCAUUCCUUCCUUCAAACAAAGCGUUUAAUUUGGAGUACCAAAGAAUACUAGUGUGCCAUUCAGUAAUAUUGAUAUUGCUUUUUUGGUUUUCUGGUUCGUUGUCUUCUGUGGGCACUGAAAAUUUUCUUAUAUUUAAAGGAAAACGGCGUAGAAAUUUGAUUAUAAGAGUAGAAUUCUAUGAAAGUGAUUCUUGACUGUAGAGCGUUAUUAGUAUUGAGUAGAAAUUUCGAAAUGUACAAGAGAGAUCAUUAAACAUCAUUAAUUAGUAUGUUUUUGACUGCUUGCUCCCCAAUCUUGUUUUGAUGUGGAAUCUGGGUGAUUCGUUUUCU
rnacentral:misc_RNA from 1 species